UACGGAGGGUGCAAGCGUUAUCCGGAUUCACUGGGUUUAAAGGGUGCGUAGGUGGGUAAGUAAGUCAGUGGUGAAAUCUCCGGGCUUAACCUGGAAACUGCCAUUGAUACUAUUUAUCUUGAAUACUUUGGAGGUAAGCGGAAUAUGUCAUGUAGCGGUGAAAUGCUUAGAUAUGACAUAGAACACCAAUUGCGAAGGCAGCUUACUACACAGUAAUUGACACUGAGGCACGAAAGCGUGGGGAUCAAACAGG
rnacentral:rRNA from 1 species